UAGUGGCGAACGGGUGAGUAACACGUGGGCAAUCUGCCCUUCACUCUGGGACAAGCCCUGGAAACGGGGUCUAAUACCGGAUAACACUGCGGAUCGCAUGGUCUGUGGUUAAAAGCUCCGGCGGUGAAGGAUGAGCCCGCGGCCUAUCAGCUUGUUGGUGAGGUAGUGGCUCACCAAGGCGACGACGGGUAGCCGGCCUGAGAGGGCGACCGGCCACACUGGGACUGAGACACGGCCCAGACUCCUACGGGAGGCAGCAGUGGGGAAUAUUGCACAAUGGGCGAAAGCCUGAUGCAGCGACGCCGCGUGAGGGAUGACGGCCUUCGGGUUGUAAACCUCUUUCAGCAGGGAAGAAGCGAAAGUGACGGUACCUGCAGAAGAAGCGCCGGCUAACUACGUGCCAGCAGCCGCGGUAAUACGUAGGGCGCAAGCGUUGUCCGGAAUUAUUGGGCGUAAAGAGCUCGUAGGCGGCUUGUCACGUCGAUUNGUGAAAGCCCGAGGCUUAACCUCGGGUCUGCAGUCGAUACGGGCUAGCUAGAGUGUGGUAGGGGNAGAUCGGAAUUCCU
rnacentral:rRNA from 1 species